AUGUGGAGCCCCCCUAGGGUCGGGGGAAGGUUAGGGUCCCUCCUCACUCCCAUUUCCUUUCAGCUCUCCAUGAAAGGGCCUCCUGGCCCCACUGGACUCACUGGCCGUCCUGGACCCCUGGGCCCCUCCGGAUACGCAGGUCUGAAGGGAGAGUCAGGGCCAGUGGGGCCACAGGUGAGGAGUGGAGCAGAGGAAGAUGGGGAGGGGGUUCCGACCAGGGCUGGGAGGGGGUUGUCUCUGAGUUAGAGGGUCCUAAAGAGAGUUGGUUGAGGAAAGGGGAGGAGGGUCGGCGGCGUCUCUGUGAUAGAGGGCCCUAAAGACAGCUGGUUGAGGAAAGAGGAGGAGGCCCAGAACCUCCUCUCCCCAACAACCAGGGACCCAGGGGACUGCAAGGACCGGCUGGCCCCCCCGGCAGAGAAGGAAAGCGGGUGAGUGACACUGCCUCCCCCCGACACUGCUGAUCUCUCCCCCUUUGCUCCCUCUCUCCUAUUCCUGACUAGCAGGUAACUAGCCCCACUGACCAAUGUCUCUUCUCUCGGGGACUCACAGGGUCGCUCAGGAGCAGAUGGAGCUCGGGGCCUUCCUGGGGACACAGGACCCAAGGUGGGUGAUGGGCAGGGGAUCCUUAGGUGAGGGGACUUGCAUGGUGGUGUGGGAUGAAAGCUGAACUCUCCAUGGGGGCCUGGGGGGUGGAGGAUCCGUGGGAGACCGAGGCUCAAAAGUCUCUCCUGCCAGGGAGAUCGGGGCUUGGAUGGACUUCCUGGUUUGCUGGGGGAGAAAGGCCAGAGGGUGAGUGUCCAGAGUUUUGAUACAUCCCCAUUCCCUCCCACCCCAAGCCACUCCACCUUCCGACCUCCCCCAACCUGUUCCAGAAUAUCUACCCUCAAGUGUCAAUUCUUUGGUUCCCUCCCAGAGCAUUUAACCCUUCUAAAUUGCUUUUCUCUGACCCCAAUGGUACUCUCUGCUUUUCUCACCUCCCCGAUCCAGGGAGACCUUGGACCCCCAGGCCGCCCAGGCCCCCCGGGUGAGAGUGGAAUAAAAGUGAGUAGAGUAGGGCUCUAGCAGGGGCCCAGCCCAGUGGGGGGGGGGAGUGGUGGGGUGUUUGGCUGGGGGUGUCGAGAAGAGGUUCUGCUGGAGACUGUAGCAGCAUACUCCUCCCCCCUUUUCUCCACCCCACAAACAUUUGCCCCCCAGACAGACACAUGCAGUGGAGCGGGGGUGGGGGGUGUCUCUUUGACAGGGCACAGAGGGACCCUCCGGACCGAUGGGACAGGCCGGAGAGCCCGUGAGUAUCUACAGACGCUCCCUCACCAUUCUUCCCUCCCUCCACCUCCCCCACCAAGGGUGGCUGAGUCCUGGAACUCCUGGGUCCAAUUCCCAACCCUGACACAUGCCCCUCCACCAGGCCCCUCUUCUCUAGGCAAGAGGCCCGGGGAUGGAACCAGCCCCCUGACAAGGUCUCUUCACAGGGACCCCGCGGUCUGAUGGGCCCACGUGGAUCCCCUGGACCCCCUGGGCAGCCGGUAAUGAACCCUCCCCAACUGGGGGGGUGGUAAGGGGAAGGGAAAC
rnacentral:lncRNA from 1 species